rnacentral:rRNA from 1 species
UACGAAGGGGCUAGCGUUGCUCGGAAUUACUGGGCGUAAAGCGCACGUAGGCGGCUUCUAAGUCGGGGUGAAAUCCUGGAGCUCAACUCCAGAACUGCCUCGAUACUGGAAAGCUCGAGUCCGGGAGAGGUGAGUGGAACUGCGAGUGUAGAGGUGAAAUUCGUAGAUAUUCGGAAGAACACCAGUGGCGAAGGCGACUAACUGGGACAUGUAUUGACGCUGAGGUGCGAAAGCGUGGGGAGCAAACAGG